UGCUGAAUUAUUCACCCGUGUCUUUUGCGUACUUCUUGUUUCCUUGGUGGGUUCGCCCACCAUAGGACAAACCAUAAACCUUUUGUAAUUGCAAUCAGCGUCAGUAAAAAAAAUUAAUAAUUACAACUUUUAACAACGGAUCUCUUGGUUCUGGCAUCGAUGAAGAACGCAGCGAAAUGCGAUAAGUAGUGUGAAUUGCAGAAUUCAGUGAAUCAUCGAAUCUUUGAACGCACAUUGCGCCCUUUGGUAUUCCAAAGGGCAUGCCUGUUCGAGCGUCAUUUGUACCCUCAAGCUUUGCUUGGUGUUGGGCGUCUUGUCUCCAGUUCGCUGGAGACUCGCCUUAAAGUAAUUGGCAGCCGGCCUACUGGUUUCGGAGCGCAGCACAAGUCGCGCUCUCUUCCAGCCAAGGUCAGCAUCCACAAAGCCUUUUUUCAACUUUUGACCUCGGAUCAGGUAGGGAUACCCGCUGAACUAAGCAU
rnacentral:rRNA from 1 species